GUAUGACUGGGAGAUAAAAUAGUAUGAUCAGCAAUAAGUGAGAGAGGACUUGGUAAGAUUUUUUUUUUUAAGUUUUGCUUUUUUUUUUUUUUGUAUUUUUGUGUCUUUAAAGACAAGGAUGUUCCUUUCUUGUAGGCAUAGGAAAGAUACUUCUGGAAUGAAGGAUUUUUUUUCUGAGAAAGAUCAGCCCUGCUUCAGAGGAAAAGGUGUACAGAGUUUGUCCUGGGAAAAUGUAUAGAUGCCAGCUGCAGUUUUACCUUUGGAAAGAAUGCCAAAUCGGUAAUCACAACAAAGCCUCUCCAAACAAACCAUGGUUUACUCAUCAUCUAUAUAAGGCAAAGGAAAAAGAAAAAGGUAAAAUUAUGAACUGGACCUCAGGACUACUGGAUUUUGCUCCAUACUUGUUCGCUAGACAGCUGUAUGGCUUUAGCAGCUUCGAAGGCGAGGAUUGUGCUAAAACUUCAGCCAUUACAGAACUGGAUUAUGGACACACAUGACCUAUUCAAGUAAUUCCCAAACCCAGCUGCUGAUCAGUAUCACUAGGGAGCUCCUAGUGAUACUCCAUGUACCCGCAGAAAUUGAUUCAAUGUCUGUGGCAAGAGGAAUCUGUUUUUCAAUGCAUUAAUCCAAGUAUUCCUAAUGUAUGUCUUGCUUAGAAUGAUAAAUCAAUCUUUCUUUCAUCAUUUUUAUCAGUACAUAUUUGCAGUACAUAAUGUUUACAUUCCUUGUGUGGAAUUGGUAUGGCACAUAACACAUCCCCAAAAUCUGGCCUGACAUUGAAGACCUUACAAAAUGUGGCCCCACCCUACCGUGGUAGAGGGGUUUUGUCACAGUGUUACUUCCAUCCCACCACCAUGCAUGUUGCUUACCAGUGAUUUUAUGCAUGUUAAUUUCUCUCAGUUUUUGCCAACACAUCAAACUAUGACUCCUUCCUUUAAGACAUAACCCAGGUUUCUUGUGCCUAAGAAGUUGCUCCUCACUCCCUGAGCCAGCUUUAACUGUGUCCCUGUCUGGGUUUCCACAACACUCUGUUAAAACAUUGAUAAUAAACUAUAUUUCUUACCACUAGCUCACAAGCGCCAUGGCUAUUUUUAUUUAUGCUGUAUAAAAUAUAUAAGAAUACUUAAUAAUUGUUCUUAGUUAUAGCAUAUAUUCAAUAAAAGAUUAUUAAAUGAAUGAAUAGAACCUGCGAAGAGGUCAACAUUUUACACAUUUAGAGAGCCACUUCACUGCAGGAUAGAUUUAGUAUCAAUCUUAGAAAAAUUGUGGCAUUGAAAUGGUUUAUUCAGACAGGAUAGAACCAGUUAUGAACUCAGUGUUUUAUUAAGAUAUAGGUCAAGUAAGAUCGGAUGGAUCUGAUGUUAAGCAGUUACACACGCGAUCUAUUCUGUGUAGCAUUGUCUCCAAACCUAGGGUAAACUAUGUGCUUUGAUAGGAGUCACAUGGUCCCAGAAUGUGGAAAAAAUGAUAGCAACCUUCACAAGUAAUUAGAUGGAAACUGUGUCAUAUGUAUUUAUUACUUUUCUUGAGGUAUUAUUGAAUAUUUUUCUCACCAUCUUUUUCAACCAGGUUAAGAUACACAUUUCUCCUCCUUUUAAUGUCUUGUAAUACAGAGAUGAAUAUAAAAUUGGCCAUAUUGCUUUAUGUGAAAAUCUCAUGUUCAGAUAAUUCUAGAUUCCAAAAUAUCUCCGGAGUGGUAUUUACCAAGCAAGCAAGCAAGAAAACAAACAAAUCCCAGCUUUAUGUGAUUGUUAAGCCAUUUCUCACAGUAUAUCACACAAUGAGUUUAAGAGAAAAUGUUAUAUUGUAUGGAACAGACUAAUACCCAGAUACAAUAAAGAUUUUAAUGGUGUGCCAGUUCUUCAGUAGAACUAUCUCCAAAAUCAUUAAACUGUUUUUUCAUUAUAUAUAUUCCAUGUAUACAUUUC
rnacentral:lncRNA from 1 species